rnacentral:rRNA from 2 species
UGGGGAAUCUUCCGCAAUGGGCGAAAGCCUGACGGAGCAACGCCGCGUGAGUGAAGACGGUUUUCGGAUUGUAAAGCUCUGUCUUUCGGGAAGAACGGCUUUUAUGUGAAGAAUGUAGAAGCGUGACGGUACCGGAGGAGGAAGCCACGGCUAACUACGUGCCAGCAGCCGCGGUAAUACGUAGGUGGCAAGCGUUGUCCGGAAUUAUUGGGCGUAAAGGGCGCGCAGGCGGGAAAAGAAGUCCGUCUUAAAAGUGCGGUGCUUAACACCGUGAGGGGACGGAAACACUUUUUCUUGAGUGCAGGAGAGGACAGUGGAAUUCCCAGUGUAGCGGUGAAAUGCGUAGAGAUUGGGAGGAACACCAGUGGCGAAGGCGGCUGUCUGGACUGUAACUGACGCUGAGGCGCGAAAGCCAGGGAAGUGAACGGG